rnacentral:lncRNA from 1 species
GUGAAAAGAGAGACUGGCUUAGCUUCCCAGCCUACAAUUUUCUCCCAUGUUGGAUGCUUCCUGCCCUGGAAUAUCGAACUCCAAGUUCUUCAGUUUUGGAACUCGAACUGAUUCUCCUUGUUUCUCACUGGGCAGACAACCUAUUGUGGGGCCUUGUGAUUACGUUUUUUGCACGUCUGAUGACCUAUGGCUCCACCUGGACCCAACAACCAUGCCUGUGACCUCACCUGUGACCAGCACUACAGAAGGACCAUUUCUCACACCCAUAUGAUUGCACCCCCAAUCAAUCAGCAGCAAACACCCAUUGCUCUAUCCACUCCCACCCCUUCCCCCAAACUACCUUUGAAAAAUCCUGCCCCAAAAUGCUCUAGCAGGCUGAUUUGAGUCAGAAUAAAAUACCAGUCUUCCGUUAGCUGGCUCUAC